GAUGAACGCUAGCAGGAGGCUUAACACAUGCAAGUCGAGGGGUAUUGUAGCAAUACAUUAGACCGGCGCACGGGUGAGUAACGCGUAUGCAACCUGCCGUUAACCGGGGGAUAGCCCGUCGAACGGCGGAUUAAUACCCCAUAAUAUUGGGAUUCUGCAUGGGAUUUCAAUUAAAGCUGAGGUGGUUAACGAUGGGCAUGCGUGACAUUAGCUAGUUGGUAGGGUAACGGCCUACCACGGCUACGAUGUCUAGGGGUUCUGAGAGGAAGGUCCCCCACUCCGGUACAGAGACACGGACCAGCCUCCUACGGGCAGCAGCAGUGAGGAAUAUUGGUCAAUGGGCGAAAGACUGAACCAGCCAUCCCGGGUACAGGAAGGCGGCCCGAUGGGUUGUAAACUGCCUUUGCGCAUGAAGAAUGUUACCUACGUGUCGGUAAGUGGCGGUAAUGCUGGAAUAAGCAUCGACUAACACCGUGCCAGCAGCCGCGGUAAUAC
rnacentral:rRNA from 1 species